UCGGUCACCCUCACUUUCCCAAACCCCCGAGGAUCCACCUCGGCGGAGCCCUUCACCCUCGCUCCCGACGGCAGCGAUCGGAGUUCGGUCUACGUUGCCUUCUCCCUGCGUCGAUUUGAAAUCCUCGCCUAGCUACUUCUUUUGUAUUGCUUUCUCGGGCGAGGGAGAUGGGGUUCCGGAGUUUAGUACGGGAGGCUGAUUGCUUUUGAGAGGUUGGGUCUUCUGCAGGCCACAAAGACAAGCCGGGCGUUCUUGUAGACGAUUAUGAUGGCUCCGCGUGCAAUUCACGCCAAAUUAAUGAUGCAGAAGGUUGAGAUGGAGUUACUAGAAUGUCUUCCUUUCUGUAUGGCCCCUGCAUGUGAGCAUAAGAUUGAUAGUUUAUUUACGCCUUGUUAUGAUGAAUCCUGAUAGCCUCAGAUCAUUAGCUGCUACAUGGUUUCAGAAGAUCACCAUCACAGCUUACUGGAUGAUAUGUGGUAUUCUUUUCUCAUCAAAAUUAUUGUUGUCAGGGAAGAUGCGGAAAGACUAUUAGUUCUCUGUCCUUAGUAGAUCAUUUGACUAGCACUUGUUUGCGUUGCUGCCUACUCUAUGCUCUUCCAGCGGCAGCACUCGUUUCUUUGAGGUCAUCCCACUUUGAAUCCAGCAGAGCUGUCUGUAUUCCCCGUCUCAGCCUACAGUUGUUUUCUUACUCAAUGACGCGGGAGACGGCAAUAUAGAUUCACACUCAUCAUCUUUGUCCUCUCGUGCUGGUCCAAGUUCCAACCAAUCAUAGGUCUUAUAUGCCUGCACCCGAAGACAUUCAAGAUCUCCACAGUUUCCAGAUGGAAACAUGACAUGGAGGACAGACAUCUUAUUCGCUUAAAGGGGAAAGAAUUAUAGAAUUUCCUACGAAGGAUCAGACUAAUUUGCUCUCCCACUAUGAUGCACAGCCUCAUCUUGAUCUGAUCUCAUGUGGACUUCAACAAACAACGAGAGAUGUCUGGCAAAGAGAAAGUGAUGGACACAAGGAAGAAGAAGUAAUGGCUCAGAUGAACAUUGCAUGCACUUCCGUGUAAGUUUGACUCUCCCAUUGAUUUCGGACUUGCUUCGCAUGCUUGUGUUGCAUUGGGCUGAUCUUUUUUUAUGAUAAAAAUUUAAGCUUAGGAUAUAAACACACUUCAAUGAGAACCUGCUCUUAGUCUACCAUUCCUAGGGACCAUCAAGACCUUCGUGGUGGCCACCAUGGCUUCCAACUCCCAGCCCGACCUGUGACACCAACCUCCAAAGCCUCUCCAUUGAUGUCUUUGUCCUGAUGCUGCGGGCAUGGUGGGUUUAAUAAAGAGGUAGCAAAGGCACGAGGAUUGGAGGUCAUUCUCUGUGCUUAUCUACGGCUCUGUGCGCUCCAUGAGAGAGAGAGAGAGAAGCAUUGUUGGCCUGCACGCAAAAGGUUGGCUGCUUUUGAGACAGCUGCCAUAAAGACGUGCCUGCAAUGGGAUGGAGACUGAGAGGAUGAGGAAAAGAGAGCAGAGCCUUGAAUGGUGGAGUUGUUAUCCAUGGGGAUCAGGGAACCAUGGGGGGUGCUGUGGUUUGGGUUCAACAGGGGCUACUGGGCCAUGGAGAUGUGUACAAAUAGGAAAGUGAAGGGGAACACCACCAAGGUAGAAUGUGGGACUCAGCGCACAUGCCUUGUCAACCGCACAUUGGACAAAGGCCUAACUCAAUUCAGUGAUGAUAGAAGAAGGAUAAUAUUUAUAUGUCAGAUUGGAAAUGAUAGAAUAGAAGGAGAAAAAUGAAUGACUUGGAGAUAGUAAAUUCCAAGUUAUUUUUACUGGAUAGUAAUAUUUGUUCGCAUAUCCGUGCAUGGAUCGAUGUCAAUUUGAAAAGAACAAGAGAACAAUAUCAGUCGAGGACGUGAUGUAUAUAUGUAUGAGAAAAAGAUCUGAUGCUUCUUAUGAAUCAUGAAACAGAUAUGAGUUCAAGCGUGCAUACAAGACGUGGAGCACAAAAUAGUAUAUGUAGAAAUGAUGCUUUCCCUUCUUUGAUUAAUGACAGUGACGUGGGGAAGCCAAGACUUGUUUUUCUGAGACCACCUUGUCCUCUGCAGUAGACACAAGUUAUACUGUGAUGUGUACUCGUUGUCAGCAUACAGUAACGCUCGAUCCUCAGCCCCCCUCAGCGCUGUGCAUUGUACCUUCGCUAAGCAUCAGUGGAGACACUGUUGAUUCACGUGCACUCUCUCUCUCUCUCUCUCUCUCUCUCACAUCUUGCAAUUUUGAUCGGCAGGCAGGAGCAUCCACGGUCACCGAGCCACCUUGUGAGAGGACAACCUUCGUGCCUGGCUCCUGCACCAGCUGCUAUUGGUAAGCAAGCUCAUCCUUCCAUUCCACAUAGUUGGACGUAAGUCACUGGAAAAGGUUAAGAGGAAAAUGACACUUCUUCAUUUCUUUUAUUACUUAGUGCAUAGCAAGAGAAACAGUGCUGCCUGUGGUUCCAAAAUAUCCCCUAAAAUUAAUAAUAUUUAAUUCUUAAAUGUGUUCGAAUGGGUACGUACUGACUAGAGAAAGAGAAUGCACAAUGAACUCUGAAGUUUGAGUCUUCACUAAGUCAAUAGACAAUUCUAUUCCUUUUAUUUUAUUGUUCUCACUUAGUGAAAUUUUGAUUUCUUUUUUUUCUUUUUGCUCCUGCGGACCUCAUACAAAGGUGUCGCAAUCACGUCAAUCUUGUUAGGUCUGUGUUUUGUUCUGGAUCAUUAUUUUAACCAUUAGUUUUCAUCAUCUCUCACAAUAUGUA